ensembl:lncRNA
CUCUCCACAAAAUAAAAUAAAAUACUUGUCUUAUCCUUUACAUGUCCGUUACAUUUUACAGGGCAAAGCUAGCACGGUGGGCUACUUCUAUUUCCCUCACUUCAUCACGCAGCACAUCUUGGUGCGCACGAGCUAGAGUGGAACAGGUCGCCUAUUAGCUCUUAAGUUGCAUACUUAAUUUCACAUUAAGGCAAAUGCAUCAGUGGCAGCUGUCGUCGCGGGCCCCCUAACAGAUGGACAGCAAGUGGAGAGUGAUAGCUCAGAUGAGGAGAUGGAAGAGAGGCAGAACAUGCCCGGUAAGGACAUGAGCAGGAAACUCAUGAGGAUACUAAAUGCAGUGGAUCCC